rnacentral:rRNA from 1 species
UACAGAGGGGGCAAGCGUUGUUCGGAAUUACUGGGCGUAAAGGGCGCGUAGGCGGCCGCCUAAGUCAGACGUGAAAUCCCUCGGCUCAACCGGGGAACUGCGUCUGAUACUGGGUGGCUUGAGUUCGGGAGAGGGAUGCGGAAUUCCAGGUGUAGCGGUGAAAUGCGUAGAUAUCUGGAGGAACACCGGUGGCGAAGGCGGCAUCCUGGACCGAGAUUGACGCUGAGGCGCGAAAGCCAGGGGAGCAAACGGG